ACGAUGAAGAGUUUGAUCCUGGCUCAGAACGAACGCUGGCGGCAUGCCUAACACAUGCAAGUCGAACGAUGGCUUCGGCCAUAGUGGCGCACGGGUGAGUAACACGUGGGAACCUGCCUUUCGGUUCG
rnacentral:rRNA from 1 species